rnacentral:rRNA from 1 species
GCUUACGGCCAUACCACCCUGAGCACGCCUGAUCUCGUCCGAUCUCGGAAGCUAAGCAGGGUCGGGCCUGGUUAGUACUUGGAUGGGAGACCGCCUGGGAAUACCAGGUGCUGUAAGCU